UGAAGCUGCCAGCAUGAUCUAAACUUGGCCACACUUAUAAAGAAAAAAAAUGGGUGACUAAGGUUAGGUCAUGCUCGGACAGCCUCACU